UCAUGUUAUAGCAUGCAUUUGAAACAAAUGUGCAGGUUGUGUAAGUUUCAACAUCUAAAACUAGGGCGAAAGGGCAAACCAAGAUCUUCACUUGACUAUACUGUGCCAUCUUCUCACAAAGCUUGCCAUCAUAGUGUACAUUUGUUUUGUUCCUGGACUGAACCUACAUACAUUACAUGAUUUUCCUAAUAACUGUCAAAUCUGUCAUGAAGCUUGUCAUCAGCGUACUUUUUUCUCUUUCAUGAAAACAACAUAUUCUGCUAGAAAGGUAAAAUUAAUUAUUACAAAAUGAUUAAAAUUAAUUGAUAACAAAAUAACUGACUCUAUUAUGCAAUCAACUAAAUUCUAUACAAGAACAUGGUUUGUCAAUAUGAUCAUGGUUGGUCAAUUUUCAUGACACUAUUUCCCUCUUUUGUGGUGGCAAAUAUAAUGCAUAUGAUCGUUUGGUAAUACAGUGAGAUGAAUAGAUUGGAUGCACAAUGAUAGAGAUCAAAUAUUAUUGGAGGCAUUGUCUUCCCCCAAAAAUUUGAAGUAUGUGUUUGGAUGGGGGUGUGGGGGUGAAGCAGGAAAUUGUGAGCCAGAUGGAUCAUUGACAGAGGUGAUGAGUUUGGAUUAGAGCGGUGGAGAAAUGACAGAACGAAGGAGGAGUGAGACACCAAUUGGUGUUGAACCAAUAGAAUAGGUAGGCCCCGCUGCAACGCACGGGCAAUUAGCUAGUAAGGAGUAAAGGAGAAAGAUAUUCCAGUCAAUUGUAUUUGUUUUUAUUUUCUUUCAACCCCUCCCGUUGCCACUGACCAGUGGGUCUCUUGGGUCAGUCCAGCAUCGCAGGGACACACCAUGCGUGCCCGCAGACCCCUGCCCCUUCACCUUAUCUCCUACUCCACCCCAAUACUUCCCUCCUCACUUCAUUUCCUUUUCUCUUGGAUCCCCUUUCUCAGUCCAGCUCGCCGGGGACGCUGUUUGUUACAACGCCAGCCACAGGAAUCGGCAGGAUACGUCCGCCCUCGUUCUGGAUCGACGUCAACGCCUCCGGCUCCGACAUGCACGCCCGCUGGCCGUCGCCGUGAACCACCUCGUUUUUCCAGUGUGUUAUUUGCUCGUAGGUAGCUCCCCUAGCUCCAUUGUUGCUCCAACUUACCUUUAAUGGUGAUUCUGGGCGCUGGCGUGCAGGAACCUCUUGGACCGAGGCCCCCUUCCUCUGUUCUGCCGGCCACCGCUGUGAUGUCGUCGCGGUCAUCCUCCUCACCAAACAACGCCAGGGACCAUGACGGGCUACGCGUUGUCCACGUCUCCUCUGGACCACGGAUUCGAAGCCGCAGGUUCCUCCUGCUUCUUCCUCGACGUUGACCGCCAUUGUCGCUGUCCGGAGCUCGUUGCUCCGCUCCAUCGGACCUUGCCACUAACAGCAGGGUGAGAAAUAGCCUUUGCAUGUUGUUUGCUGCUUGAUGUCGUUGGUUGUGUGGCUACUGUCACUGCUUUGCUGCAUGCUGACCUGCCUGUAGAUAAGAAAAACAGAGAUUGAUUUGCUAUGAAAAAAGAUGGCCAUAUCCAGUACUGCUUAAUUUACUUGCUCGUCACACUUUCAGACUAAGGCUGCGACUUCCCUGUGUAAUUUCUUUUCACUCUAACAAUUAUCAGGAAAAUACAGAAAAAUGCUCAACCUGCUGAACUUGUAAAAUCCAUAGCAAAAUCAUUCUAGUUCGGUUUGGAGUAGUACUGUAUGUAUCUGGAUGCUUUAACAUGUAAUUUAGCAAUAGAGACAUAUAAGCCUAGUCAGUAUUAUUACUUAGAACUGAAAGAUGAUGUACUUUCACAAAAUGUCUCUAAAUCUUUAAAAAUUCAUAACUUGCAUUCUAGGACUCCAGGAAAAUUUUAUUGCCAAUUUCAAUAGCUUCAUUUUUGACUUUCUGCAUGACAUCGCAUACAAUUCGUGCAAUGUACACAUUUUGGAAAUUCAUGAAUAUUGAUUUUCCUCCAUUUGGUUCUUUUCUGGGGUUUCUUAAUCAUUUCAAUAGAGUCCGACAAUGAAGGGUAUUACAAGUUCGGCCUGCAGCUUCAUCAACACGUUGACCAGCAAGGCAAGCAUCUGCUUGUUGACCCUAUCUUAUGUUUUAAUUAUGUUGAAGGAUUAUACUAUCUUGGUGUUGUCCUUGUUGGUUACCAUGUCACACCUUUCUUUGCAAUAUCCAUGUUUAGCUUUGUUUUACAUGGCCAGGGCUUCCUUGUUGUUUAUGAUCAGCGGGUCAUGACAUAUAUUAACAUUGCCUUAGCCAUGAACCUAGUGAACAGCUCAACCCAGUCCAUAUGAAUCGCUAUGAAAAAGUAACUCAAAAGGUUAGGU
rnacentral:lncRNA from 1 species